UAAUACGAAGGGGGCUAGCGUUGUUCGGAAUUACUGGGCGUAAAGCGCACGUAGGCGGAUAUUUAAGUCAGGGGUGAAAUCCCAGAGCUCAACUCUGGAACUGCCUUUGAUACUGGGUAUCUUGAGUAUGGAAGAGGUGAGUGGAAUUCCGAGUGUAGAGGUGAAAUUCGUAGAUAUUCGGAGGAACACCAGUGGCGAAGGCGGCUCACUGGUCCAUUACUGACGCUGAGGUGCGAAAGCGUGGGGAGCAAACAGG
rnacentral:rRNA from 1 species